UUGAACUGACACAGGUGCCCCUCGCUGAGAAGGCGAAGGCGUGUCGGGAGUAAAUGUGUUAAGGGAACUCGGCAAAUUAGCCCUGUAACUUUGGGAUAAGGGGUGCCUGCCCAGCGAUUGGGCAGGUCGCAGUGACAAGAUCGCUCCGACUGUCUAAUAACAACAUAGCAGACUGCAACUCCGAAAGGACUCGUAUAGUCUGUGAUUCCUGCCCAGUGCGAGUAUCUGAACACCGGGUUCAACCGGACGAAGGACUCGUAAACGGCGGGGGUAACAAUGACCCUCUUAAGGUAGCGUAGUACCUUGUCGCUUAAUUGGCGACUUGCAUGAAUGGAAUAACGAGAGCGAUACUGUCCCUAACACAUACCCGUUGAACCUUUUGUACUAGUGCAGAGACUAGUGACUCCUUAUGGGAAGUGAAGACCCCGUGGAGCUUUACUGCAGCCUGUCGUUGGGUUACGGUAUUACCUGCGCAGGGUAGAUGGGAGACGUCGAUCCAACCCUUGUGGGGGUUGGUUAGUCACCGAUGAGACACCAUCCUGGUUUUAUUGUAAUUCUAACUGAUUUAUCAGGACAUCGAUAGGUAGGCAGUUUGGGUGGGGCGCCACACCCUCGAAAAAAUAUCAAGGGUGCCCUAAGGUCAACUCAAGCGGGUCAGAAACCCGCUGAAGAGUGUCAAGAGCAAAAGUUGGCCUGACGCGAUUUCGCAUAGCAAGAAAUCGCGAGAGGGAACUCGGGUCUAACGAACCAACACGCCCUGUUGAUGAGGGCUAUUGACUACAGAAAAGCUACCCCGGGGAUAACAGAGUCGUCGCCGGCAAGAGCACAUAUCGACCCGGCGGCUUGCUACCUCGAUGUCGGUUCUUUCCAUCCUGGCUGUGCAGCAGCGGCCAAGGGUGAGGUUGUUCGCCUAUUAAAGGGGAUCGUGAGCUGGGUUUAGACCGUCGUGAGACAGGUCGGUUACUAUCUAUAAGGAGUGUUGGAAGUCUGAAGGCAAGAAUGAAAUAGUACGAGAGGAACUUUCAUUCGGCGCCACUGGUCUACCGGUUGUCUGACAAGGCAACGCCGGGCAGCUACGCGCCAAGAGAUAAAAGCUGAAAGCAUCUAAGCUUGAAACUCAGCCUGAACAAGAGACUUCAUCAAAGACACGGGUAAAAGACCCGGUUGAUAGGUUCGGGAUGUACGCACGAAGGCAACGACGCGUUCAGUCCGCGAAUACUAAUCGUCCC
rnacentral:rRNA from 1 species